rnacentral:lncRNA from 1 species
GGAUGCGGAGGGUGAAGCUCUCUAUUUUUAUUUUUGGCUUUCCAUUUGCUACUUCGUUCGUUAACUUUUAUGGGUAAGUGAAUUUCUACUCUGUAUGAUCAAUUUAAAUUCAUUAUGAUAUGAUUUCAGUUGCAAGACGUACUUCAAUAUGAGCUGUCCGGCGGCAACUGAGAAUUGUUGCAAGUGCGUUUAUAAUUGCACUUGUAAUCCUUCCACAUGAAGCGUUGGCGCAAAGUCAGGAUCUGAAGCAGAGAUGAAGAAGCUAAGUUAGUAUUAGUUUUGUGUGUUUAAAUAAAUCAUCAUCACUAGUAGGUGGUGAUUGUGUAAUAUUCGUAUAAAGUAAUUAAUAGUGUUUGUAAUCUCACCUCUGCUUAAUUAUAUUAAUGAAAAACUCCUUUCUUCUAAUUGUUUUUUCCAGUUUAAUUUUCUUUUAUUAUUCUUUUACAUUUCAAGUUUAAAAGAAAAUGUUCUUUUUGAAGACUGAAACCUGAGUGGAUAUAUCUCUGGAAAAAGAUUAUUUGACGACAAGAUAUUUCGUAUUUCGAAUUAUACUUUUGAAAUUACAAAUAAAAAUUUAAUAUCCGCUACCCCUCCAAAAAAUAAAAAAUAAAAAAAUUACCAGUUUUUUGGCUUCCUAGUGUUAAGAAUGUUUUAGUGACACAAAAUUUCUAUACAACCAUGCAUAUUAAAGAAUAAAAAUUUUUGGCCACCAAAAUUUAAAUGGGCUUGGGAAAUAUAUUAAAAAAUAUAUUCGUAAAAAUAAAAAAAUUUUGCCCAUCAAAAUUUAAAGGGAUAAUUGCAACGAAAGUCCCAAACCUUUGAAAUAUUAGCAGGCUUUCUCCAAACCUUUCAUUUAUUACAACUGUCAUCCUUAACAUUUUCAACCGUUGCAGGUGAGGCCCCAAAUGGAUGGAAAUCGUCUCUUCUGUUGUUAAUUGACCACCAAAAUUGAAUUAUGACCAUUUUAACCAAAAUAGGCGAGAGUAAAAUUGUCUCUUCAAUUUUAAAAAGGCCAAAAUAGUAAUUAAAUUGGAAAAAUAAAAUAAUUCAACGAUCAAGAACACAAAUAAAUUAAACGACUUGUUCUAUGAAUUAAAAAUAAUCAAUAAUAAGUUUUAUCUUCAACUAACACAAAAAUCUAGCCUCGUGUUUCCAACGAUUUAACAACAAAAUGAUUAGAAAAUCAUCAAGGAAAUUUAUAAUUACAAGAAGGAUGAUUGGCAAUCAAUAUUUUAUUCUUGUUCUUGAUAUUCACUCUCAAGCUUUAAUUCCUCAAGUUAUUGACAUUUCGUUCUUCCAUCCGUAAUAUGAUGAAUUGGCCCUCUUUUUUGUAAGCUUUUAUGAUGUGAAUUGAUAUGAGAGGUUAGAAGGGAACCCCUUCAGUGUUUGCCGACAUUCUCUACUUAUUAGCAAUUUGUUAGGUUUCUAGUGUAUUGACAAUUCUUUAAACAAAUGGAUUAAUGUAAAAGAGUUGUAAAAGUCAUAAAAUCUUUUAAAGUUGGUAGUAUAGUCCUUGAAAGAAUCCAAGAUAUCCAAGAAGAUCAUAUAUGAUCAUUGGAAUGCAAUUAGAAGUCCAAAGGAUAUAAAAAAGUCACACAAGUUAUGUUCCAAAUUCUCAAUCACAACUUACAAUGCAUUUUUUACACAAAACAACAUUGAAAUUUGGAUAAGGCUAUAUCUAGAAGAAUUGUAGCCCUUUGAAUUAGAUUUCCAACUCAUUUUGAAUAACUUCAAUUGGACAUCAAGAGAAAAAGUUAUGAUGAAAAUAUUGACGACUACUUUGCUAUCGCUAGCUCCUCGCUCGAGCGAUAGGUUGACGACUAGAAUUCCAUUUUGCUUCAAACACUUAGUUUUUCAGUCCCUUUUCAUCUCAAACACUUUCCCUUAUAAAUAUACAACCUAUGGGACGUCCAAAAGUGUGGUUGAUCAUUAUAUUUCACUUUCAUAUCAUUCUCUAGAGAUCCAAGAACUCAUUCAAUUGGAGAAUUCAUUCCAUCCUUUCUUGAGAUCAUUCAACCACGCUUUGGGAAAACAUCAAGAUUCUUAAUCCAAAACACCGUGCUUCCUUAAUCUGUUGAGGAAGAAAUUCUUUCAUUGGGGGACUGAGAGAGGUGGAUUGAAGCGCAGUUAUAAGUAUAAGAAGAGGUGGUUCUUGGUGUUCCACUUAGACAUGUUGCUUUGGUUAGUAUAAUUCUGCACGUAAGGUCAAACAAAUUGGUAAUCUAGAAUGUAAACUUAGUAACUCUAAAAUUUGAAGUGGUAUUAGAACGUUCUGGAUUCUUUCAAACUUGAUUCAAUAAACACUUUAUUUAUCCACUUAAAUUGCAACACACCUGUGAAAUAAUACAAGUCUUCACGAUAGGAUUGAAACUCUAACAUUGCUCGUGGUGC